rnacentral:lncRNA from 1 species
CUAACCUAAACAGCAGUAGACAAGGCAUAUUGACAUUAGUGAGAGGCAUGUGUAGCUGAGUGAUCAUAGGGUCCAAUGAGCAGCAAUUAAGUGAGUCAGGGAGCCGUUCGGUAGUCGCUACUACGCUAGGUGAGCUGGAGACACAACGAUUCAGAAAGCUAGCGGGCCGGGGAUAGCAGAUGGGUCUUCAGCAACGUUGCAACGGAAAAGCUUGUUGAAACCUCCUCGGGCGAUUAUGUCCGCAGACCAGUCGUGAUAGAUCACAGGGGCUCCGUGUCGGCAAUAAAGGGUCCAGGCCAGUUGGCAAAAGAGAUAUACCGUGACGAGAUCCUGAGGCCCAUUGUCAUGCCAUUCAUCUGUCGCCAUCAGCUCGUUUCAGCAUGAUCAUGUACAGCCGUUGUCGGAAGGAUCUGUACACUAUUCCUGGAAGCUGGCAGUGGUGGAAAAGGUACUUUACAUCACUGGAAGCUGGAAAUGUCCUAGUUCUUCCAUGGCCUGCAUACUACCCAGACAUGUCACCCAUUGCGCAUGUUUGGAAUCCAGCAACUUCGCACAGCCAUUGAAGAGUGGGACAACAUUCCACAGGCCACAAUCAACAGCCUGAUCAACUCUAUGCAAAGGAGAUGUGUCACGUUGCAUGACGCAAAUGGUGGUCACACCAGAUACAAACUGGUUCUCUGAUCUACGCCCG